rnacentral:piRNA from 1 species
AAAAAGAUUGCCCAUGUAAUUACA